rnacentral:rRNA from 2 species
ACGGAAGGCAGCAGUGGGGAAUAUUGCACAAUGGGGGAAACCCUGAUGCAGCGACGCCGCGUGAGUGAAGAAGUAUUUCGGUAUGUAAAGCUCUAUCAGCAGGAAAGAAAAUGACGGUACCUGACUAAGAAGCCCCGGCUAACUACGUGCCAGCAGCCGCGGUAAUACGUAGGGGGCAAGCGUUAUCCGGAUUUACUGGGUGUAAAGGGAGCGUAGACGGCUUUGCAAGUCUGAAGUGAAAGCCCGGGGCUCAACCCCGGAACUGCUUUGGAAACUGUAGAGCUAGAGUGCAGGAGAGGUAAGUGGAAUUCCUAGUGUAGCGGUGAAAUGCGUAGAUAUUAGGAGGAACACCAGUGGCGAAGGCGGCUUACUGGACUGUAACUGACGUUGAGGCUCGAAGGCGUGGGGAGCGAACAGGAUUAGAUACCCUGGUA